rnacentral:lncRNA from 1 species
GUAGCUGUGAAAUGGGGAGGAGACAGCCUGUCAGAAGACUUGAACUCAUGUUGAAACCCUCCUGUUACACGUCAUGGAGUAAUGACUUAGUAAGCAGCUAGCACAGCAGUUCUGAAUUAGUUCAACAGUAAAACAGCCUGAUACCAGAAGCUAAGCUCAACGUCUCUCCAGCUGUGCUCUACCCAAGCGUGCCUCUCUACUCGAUGCCGAGAGGAUGGAGGAAUCAUGUUCUCUGCUGUAUCUCUGCUUCCCCCCAGCUGUGAGUGCCUCUGGUUAUGCUAUGUGGGAUGCCACCUCCACGUGGCCUGAUGAGCGGUGCCAUGUCCGUGCCCAGGAUCCGAACCAGCGAAACCCUGGGCCACUGCAGAGCACGUGAACUUAACCACUUGGCCAUGGGGCUGGGCCCUCCAAUGCAAUUCUGCUGUCAAGCAGAUUUCCUGAAACAAACAUGAUCUUUGAAGAGCCAGCAACUGGUGGUGAAUUAAAAACAGAUGAAUUUUCCAUAU